rnacentral:rRNA from 1 species
AGCGAACGCUGGCGGCAGGCUUAACACAUGCAAGUCGAGCGGCCGUAGCAAUACGGCAGCGGCAGACGGGAGAGUAACACGUGGGAACGUGCCCAUCAGUUCGGAACAACCCAGGGAAACUUGGGCUAAUACCGGAUACGCCCUUACGGGGAAAGAUUUAUCGCUGAUGGAGCGGCCCGCGUCUGAUUAGCUUGUUGGUGAGGUAACGGCUCACCAAGGCGACGAUCAGUAGCUGGUCUGAGAGGAUGAUCAGCCUCACUGGGACUGAGACACGGCCCAGACUCCUACGGGUGGCUG